AUGGCCAAGACCAGGUCGGCGGCUCCGGCCCGCCCCUCCGCCGCCGCCACCUCCACCGCCGCAGCCACCGCCAGGAUCUCCUUCCGCUCCCGCAAGAUCGUCAAGACACCACCCGCCAAACCCCUCGCCGCGGCCACCCUGCCGCCGCCGGCGCCGCCCGCUCCGGUGCUGCCCGCGCUGUCCGCCCCGGGCGAGCUCGCGGCGGCGCUGCGCCACCUCGCGGCCGCCGACCCGCUCCUCUCCGAGGUCAUCGCCUCCACCGACGCCCUGGCUUUCACCUCCUCCCCCUCCGUCCCCGCCUUCCACUCCCUCGCGCGCUCCAUCCUCUACCAGCAGCUCGCCACCUCCGCCGCCGCCGCCAUCUACGCCCGCUUCCUCGCGCUCCUCCCCUCCGCCGCCGACGGCUCCGUGAGCCCCGCGGCCGUGCUCGCCCUCGCCGCCGCCGACCUCCGCGCCAUCGGCGUCUCCGGCCGCAAGGCCGCCUACCUGCACGACCUGGCCGCCAGGUUCGCGGCCGGGGACCUCUCCGAGUCCUCCGUCGCCGCCAUGGGCGAGGACGCGCUCCUCGCCCAGCUCACCAGGGUCAAGGGCAUCGGCGAGUGGACGGUCCACAUGUUCAUGAUCUUCUCGCUGCACCGCCCCGACGUGCUGCCGUCCGGCGACCUCGGCGUGCGCAAGGGCGUGCAGGAGCUGUACAAGCUCAAGGGGCUGCCCAAGCCGGAGGAGAUGGCCGCAUUGUGCGAGCGCUGGCGCCCGUACCGGUCGGUCGGCGCCUGGUACAUGUGGCGCCUCCUCGAGAGCAAGGGCGCCGCGGUGAAGAAGGCGAAGAAGGGCAAUGCGAGCUCCUAG
rnacentral:rRNA from 1 species